UACGAGUGCCCCAAGCGUUAUCCGGAAUCAUUGGGCGUAAAGGGUGUGUAGGCGGUUGUGUUAGUCUUUUGUUAAAGCUCCCGGCUUAACCGGGAAAGUGCAAGAGAUACGGCACAACUAGAGGAUGCGAGAGGUGAACGGAACUCAUAGUGUAGGGGUGAAAUCCGUUGAUAUUAUGGGGAACACCAAAUGCGAAGGCAGUUCACUGGCGCAUUCCUGACGUUGAAACACGAAAGCGUGGGUAGCGAAUGAG
rnacentral:rRNA from 1 species